CAGUCGCCACGGGAACACGAAGGGGGCUAGCGUUGCUCGGAAUGACUGGGCGUAAAGGGCGCGUAGGCGGUUUUGACAGUCAGAUGUGAAAUUCCUGGGCUUAACCUGGGGGCUGCAUUUGAGACGUCAAGACUAGAGUGUGAGAGAGGGUUGUGGAAUUCCCAGUGUAGAGGCGAAGUUCGUAGAUAUUGGGAAGAACACCGGUGGCGAAGGCGGCAACCUGGCUCAUUACUGACGCUGAGGCGCGAAAGCGUGGGGAGCAAACAGGAUUAGAUACCCCGGUAGUCCCUGUCUCUUAUAC
rnacentral:rRNA from 1 species